GACGAACGCUGGCGGCGUGCCUAAUACAUGCAAGUCGAACGCACUUUUUCUGCUGCUUGUACUAGAAACACUUAGCGGCGAACGGGAGAGUAACACUUAAACAACCUUCCCCUUAGACUGGGAGGACUAUUAGUAACGGUAGCUAAUACUAGAUAAGCGUAUUUCUCGUUUUAGCGAGAUUUAAAAGUUAGUUAUGCUAAUACUUUAAGAUGGCUUUGCGUUGCAUUAGCUGGUGGGUGGGGUAAGGGCCCACCAAGGCGACGAUGCAUAGCCUACCUGAGAGGGGGUCCGGCAACACGGGGACUGAGACACGGCCCAGACCCCUCCGGGAGGCGGCGGAGGGGAAUCUUCCGCAAGGGGCGAAAGCCUGACGGAGAAACGCCGCGUGAGGGAAGAAGGAUUUCGGUUGGUAAAGCUCUGUUGUUAGGGAAGAAUGGAUUUGGAGUAACAAUACAUGUAAGAGACGGUACCUAACCAGAAAGCCACGGCUAACUACGUG
rnacentral:rRNA from 1 species